rnacentral:rRNA from 1 species
CGGCGUGCCUAACACAUGCAAGUCGAACGGUAACAGACAGAAGCUUGCUUCUGUGCUGACGAGUGGCGCACGGGUGAGUAAUAUAUAGGUAACAUGCCCCACAGAGGGGGAUAGCCACUGGAAACGGUGAUUAAUACCCCAUAUGCCUCUAUCACACAAGUGAGCGAGGGAAACGGAUUUCCGCUGUGGGAUUGGCCUAUAUCGUAUCAGCUAGUUGGUGGGGUAAUGGCCUACCAAGGCAAUGACGCGUAGCUGGUUUGAGAGGAUGAUCAGCCACACUGGUACUGAGACACGGACCAGACUCCUACGGGAGGCAGCAGUGAGGAAUAUUGCACAAUGGGGGAAACCCUGAUGCAGCAACGCCGCGUGGAGGAUGACGCAUUUCGGUGUGUAAACUCCUUUUAACAGGGAAGAAGAUGACGGUACCUGUUGAAUAAGCUCCGGCUAACUCCGUGCCAGCAGCCGCGGUAAUACGGGGGGAGCAAGCGUUACUCGGAAUCACUGGGCGUAAAGGACGCGUAGGCGGCCUUGUAAGUCAGAUGUGAAAUCCUAUGGCUUAACCAUAGAACUGCAUUUGAAACUACAAGGCUAGAGUAUGGAAGGGGCAGAUGGAAUUAGUGGUGUAGGGGUAAAAUCCGUAGAUAUCACUAGGAAUACCGAAAGCGAAGGCGAUCUGCUGGGACAUUACUGACGCUAAGGCGUGAAAGCGUGGGGAGCAAACAGGAUUAGAUACCCUGGUAGUCCACGCCCUAAACGAUGCUCACUAGUCGUUGCGGUGCUAGUCACUGCAGUGAUGCAGCUAACGCAUUAAGUGAGCCGCCUGGGGAGUACGGCCGCAAGGUUAAAACUCAAAGGAAUAGACGGGGACCCGCACAAGUGGUGGAGCAUGUGGUUUAAUUCGAAGAUACGCGAAGAACCUUACCUGGCCUUGACAUAUAGGAGAACCCGGUAGAGAUACUGGGGUGCCCUUUUAGGGAGCUCCUAUACAGG